CCUACGGGGGGCUUCAGUGGGGAAUAUUGGACAAUGGGCGAAAGCCUGAUCCAGCAAUGCCGCGUGAGUGAUGAAGGCCUUAGGGUUGUAAAGCUCUUUUACCAGGGAUGAUAAUGACAGUACCUGGAGAAUAAGCUCCGGCGAACUCCGUGCCAGCAGCCGCGGUAAUACGGAGGGAGCGAGCGUUGUUCGGAAUUACUGGGCGUAAAGCGCACGUAGGCGGUUUUUCAAGUCCGGGGUGAAAGCCCGGUGCUCACCUCCGGAAUUGCCCUUGAAACUGGAUGACUAGAAUCUUGGAGAGGUCAGUGGAAUUCCGAGUGUAGAGGUGAAAUUCGUAGAUAUUCGGAAGAACACCAGUGGCGAAGGCGACUGACUGGACAAGUAUUGACGCUGAGGUGCGAAAGCGUGGGGCGCAAACAGGAUUAGAUACCCUAGUAGUC
rnacentral:rRNA from 1 species